UACGAAGGGGGCUAGCGUUGCUCGGAAUUACUGGGCGUAAAGGGCGCGUAGGCGGAUAGUUUAGUCAGAGGUGAAAGCCCAGGGCUCAACCUUGGAAUUGCCUUUGAUACUGGCUAUCUUGAGUUCGGAAGAGGUAAGUGGAAUGCCGAGUGUAGAGGUGAAAUUCGUAGAUAUUCGGCGGAACACCAGUGGCGAAGGCGACUUACUGGUCCGAUACUGACGCUGAGGCGCGAAAGCGUGGGGAGCAAACAG
rnacentral:rRNA from 1 species